rnacentral:tRNA from 1 species
GGGGGUGUAGCUCAGCUGGUUAGAGUAUCUGCCUGUCACGCAGAGGGCCGCGGGUUCGAGUCCCGUCACUCCCGCCA